AGCGUACACGGUGGAUGCCCUGGCAGUCAGAGGCGAUGAAGGACGUGCUAAUCUGCGAUAAGCGUCGGUGAGGUGAUAUGAACCGUUAUAACCGGCGAUUUCCGAAUGGGGAAACCCAGUGUGUUUCGACACACUAUCAUUAACUGAAUCCAUAGGUUAAUGAGGCGAACCGGGGGAACUGAAACAUCUAAGUACCCCGAGGAAAAGAAAUCAACCGAGAUUCCCCCAGUAGCGGCGAGCGAACGGGGAGGAGCCCAGAGCCUGAAUCAGUGUGUGUGUUAGUGGAAGCGUCUGGAAAGGCGCGCGAUACAGGGUGACAGCCCCGUACACAAAAAUGCACAUACUGUGAGCUCGAUGAGUAGGGCGGGACACGUGGUAUCCUGUCUGAAUAUGGGGGGACCAUCCUCCAAGGCUAAAUACUCCUGACUGACCGAUAGUGAACCAGUACCGUGAGGGAAAGGCGAAAAGAACCCCGGCGAGGGGAGUGAAAAAGAACCUGAAACCGUGUACGUACAAGCAGUGGGAGCCUCUUAAUGGGGUGACUGCGUACCUUUUGUAUAAUGGGUCAGCGACUUAUAUUCUGUAGCAAGGUUAACCGAAUAGGGGAGCCGAAGGGAAACCGAGUCUUAACUGGGCGUUAAGUUGCAGGGUAUAGACCCGAAACCCGGUGAUCUAGCCAUGGGCAGGUUGAAGGUUGGGUAACACUAACUGGAGGACCGAACCGACUAAUGUUGAAAAAUUAGCGGAUGACUUGUGGCUGGGGGUGAAAGGCCAAUCAAACCGGGAGAUAGCUGGUUCUCCCCGAAAGCUAUUUAGGUAGCGCCUCGUGAAUUCAUCUCCGGGGGUAGAGCACUGUUUCGGCAAGGGGGUCAUCCCGACUUACCAACCCGAUGCAAACUGCGAAUACCGGAGAAUGUUAUCACGGGAGACACACGGCGGGUGCUAACGUCCGUCGUGAAGAGGGAAACAACCCAGACCGCCAGCUAAGGUCCCAAAGUCAUGGUUAAGUGGGAAACGAUGUGGGAAGGCCCAGACAGCCAGGAUGUUGGCUUAGAAGCAGCCAUCAUUUAAAGAAAGCGUAAUAGCUCACUGGUCGAGUCGGCCUGCGCGGAAGAUGUAACGGGGCUAAACCAUGCACCGAAGCUGCGGCAGCGACACUAUGUGUUGUUGGGUAGGGGAGCGUUCUGUAAGCCUGUGAAGGUGUACUGUGAGGUAUGCUGGAGGUAUCAGAAGUGCGAAUGCUGACAUAAGUAACGAUAAAGCGGGUGAAAAGCCCGCUCGCCGGAAGACCAAGGGUUCCUGUCCAACGUUAAUCGGGGCAGGGUGAGUCGACCCCUAAGGCGAGGCCGAAAGGCGUAGUCGAUGGGAAACAGGUUAAUAUUCCUGUACUUGGUGUUACUGCGAAGGGGGGACGGAGAAGGCUAUGUUGGCCGGGCGACGGUUGUCCCGGUUUAAGCGUGUAGGCUGGUUUUCCAGGCAAAUCCGGAAAAUCAAGGCUGAGGCGUGAUGACGAGGCACUACGGUGCUGAAGCGACAAAUGCCCUGCUUCCAGGAAAAGCCUCUAAGCAUCAGGUAACAUCAAAUCGUACCCCAAACCGACACAGGUGGUCAGGUAGAGAAUACCAAGGCGCUUGAGAGAACUCGGGUGAAGGAACUAGGCAAAAUGGUGCCGUAACUUCGGGAGAAGGCACGCUGAUAUGUAGGUGAAGCGACUUGCUCGUGGAGCUGAAAUCAGUCGAAGAUACCAGCUGGCUGCAACUGUUUAUUAAAAACACAGCACUGUGCAAACACGAAAGUGGACGUAUACGGUGUGACGCCUGCCCGGUGCCGGAAGGUUAAUUGAUGGGGUUAGCGGUAACGCGAAGCUCUUGAUCGAAGCCCCGGUAAACGGCGGCCGUAACUAUAACGGUCCUAAGGUAGCGAAAUUCCUUGUCGGGUAAGUUCCGACCUGCACGAAUGGCGUAAUGAUGGCCAGGCUGUCUCCACCCGAGACUCAGUGAAAUUGAACUCGCUGUGAAGAUGCAGUGUACCCGCGGCAAGACGGAAAGACCCCGUGAACCUUUACUAUAGCUUGACACUGAACAUUGAGCCUUGAUGUGUAGGAUAGGUGGGAGGCUUUGAAGUGUGGACGCCAGUCUGCAUGGAGCCGACCUUGAAAUACCACCCUUUAAUGUUUGAUGUUCUAACGUGGGCCCCUUACCGGGGUUGCGGACAGUGUCUGGUGGGUAGUUUGACUGGGGCGGUCUCCUCCUAAAGAGUAACGGAGGAGCACGAAGGUUGGCUAAUCCUGGUCGGACAUCAGGAGGUUAGUGCAAUGGCAUAAGCCAGCUUGACUGCGAGCGUGACGGCGCGAGCAGGUGCGAAAGCAGGUCAUAGUGAUCCGGUGGUUCUGAAUGGAAGGGCCAUCGCUCAACGGAUAAAAGGUACUCCGGGGAUAACAGGCUGAUACCGCCCAAGAGUUCAUAUCGACGGCGGUGUUUGGCACCUCGAUGUCGGCUCAUCACAUCCUGGGGCUGAAGUAGGUCCCAAGGGUAUGGCUGUUCGCCAUUUAAAGUGGUACGCGAGCUGGGUUUAGAACGUCGUGAGACAGUUCGGUCCCUAUCUGCCGUGGGCGCUGGAGAACUGAGGGGGGCUGCUCCUAGUACGAGAGGACCGGAGUGGACGCAUCACUGGUGUUCGGGUUGUCAUGCCAAUGGCACUGCCCGGUAGCUAAAUGCGGAAGAGAUAAGUGCUGAAAGCAUCUAAGCACGAAACUUGCCCCGAGAUGAGUUCUCCCUGACUCCUUGA
rnacentral:rRNA from 3 species